rnacentral:rRNA from 1 species
UACGUAGGGGGCAAGCGUUGUCCGGAAUCAUUGGGCGUAAAGCGCGUGUAGGCGGCUGGGUAAGUCCGCUCUGAAAGCCCGGGGCUCAACCCCGGGAGGCGGGUGGAUACUGCUCAGCUCGAGUCCGGAAGAGGAGUGUGGAAUUCCUGGUGUAGCGGUGAAAUGCGCAGAUAUCAGGAGGAACACCAAUGGCGAAGGCAGCACUCUGGGACGGUACUGACGCUGAGAAGCGAAAGCAUGGGGAGCGAACAGG